GGCUUCGUAGCUCAGCUGGAGUAGAGCAUGCGCGUACAAAGCGUAGGCAGUGUCCAUGCGUGGGUUCGAGUCCCACCGAGGCUA
rnacentral:tRNA from 1 species